UGGUGUCAAGGAUUAUGGGAUAUAUAUGAGCUGUAUGUGAAGAAUGGAGGGCAGCAGCUGGAGACAAAGUAUUUUCUUUUAUAGAUAAAAAUAAAUUCUAAAAUAAUUUUAAUACAUGGCAGAGGGCUUUUUCUCCCCUGACAUAUUAUGCUGCCAAGCAUUUGUAUAUGUUUAAAAAAAAAUACCUCAAUUUUAAAGGUUCUCUUACGUGAGCAAAUACAGUGCCACAGGAGAAUAUGGUUCCUGGAUUCUCUGUUCUGGAGCCGAAAAACUACUCUAGGACAAAACAGAUUCCCGGCGGUUCCUGUGCUACUGACUCCUGGCUGGCUCAGCGUCCCCAGCGGGGAAUUUGUAGCACCCAGCCGCUGGCGUCUUCUCCUGGCGGAAGCUCAACCAUUUGAAGAGAAGGGGAGGGAAAAAAAAUCCCAAUCAGGAUGUUUGCACAUGCUGUUCUCUGCUUGCUCGUCUGGAUGUUUUGCUGAGGGACUGGGACAUCUGCAGAGAAGGGGGAGCGGCGGCGGCUGGAGCGUGCCCUGUUCGGGGCUGAAGUUCCUCCAGCGCCGGGGGCUGUGAGUGCGCGCAGCCGCGGGGGCGAGCAGCGGGGCCGGGAUCGCGCUACCCGGAGCGUACGCAGACAGAC
rnacentral:lncRNA from 1 species